UAUAUGUUCGUGAAUGUGAAUGAGGCAAUUAGUAGAAUUUUUGCCUCCCCAGAAUCCGUAGAGCUGACUGACAGAUCAGUGUGAGAUUCUGAGAUAACAACUCUACUUACCAGGAGUAUUAUUCUUUGACGAUUGGACAUCUCACGGUUAAUUUACUCAGCCGAUCACUGUGGGUCCGAUGCUACGGAUUUUCGCCGUACCACAACCAUUGAGAAUUGCUCCAGUCAUGGUAGUCCAAUUUCAAGCCGAUCCAGGAUCAUUUUCUAUGCACCUUGAGCUGGUACUGGUAAUCAAUGCUAUCCUUCACCGGGGAGGAUGGAUAAUAGAAAAUCCUACUACCCUAGAAGAUUGAGGGCAAGCGAGGUCCUGGACGUAGGCGUAUAUCCUAGAUGGCCAAUCUUACAAAAACCUUUUAAAAUCU